AGCGAACGCUGGCGGCAGGCCUAACACAUGCAAGUCGAACGGACCCUUCGGGGUUAGUGGCGGACGGGUGAGUAACACGUGGGAACGUGCCCUUUGGUUCGGAACAACUCAGGGAAACUUGAGCUAAUACCGAAUGUGCCCUUCGGGGGAAAGAUUUAUCGCCAUUGGAGCGGCCCGCGUCUGAUUAGCUAGUUGGUGGGGUAAUGGCCUACCAAGGCGACGAUCAGUAGCUGGUCUGAGAGGAUGAUCAGCCACAUUGGGACUGAGACACGGCCCAAACUCCUACGGGAGGCAGCAGUGGGGAAUCUUGCGCAAUGGGCGAAAGCCUGACGCAGCCAUGCCGCGUGAAUGAUGAAGGUCUUAGGAUUGUAAAAUUCUUUCACCGGGGACGAUAAUGACGGUACCCGGAGAAGAAGCCCCGGCUAACUUCGUGCCAGCCGCCGCAGUAAAAC
rnacentral:rRNA from 1 species